GUGAGGAAUUUUCCGCAAUGGGCGAAAGCCUGACGGAGCAAUGCCGCGUGAGUGAAGAAGGUUCUCGGAUCGUAAAACUCUGUUGUGAGGGAAGAACAAGUACCGGAGUAACUGCCGGUACCUUGACGGUACCUCAUUAGAAAGCCACGGCUAACUACGUGCCAGCAGCCGCGGUAAUACGUAGGUGGCAAGCGUUGUCCGGAAUCAUUGGGCGUAAAGCGCGCGAAGGCGGUCCCUUAAGUCUGAUGUGAAAGCCCACGGCUCAACCGUGGAGGGUGAUUGGAAACUGGGGGACUUGAGUGCAGAAGAGGAAAGCGGAAUUCCAAGUGUAGCGGUGAAAUGCGUAGAGAUUUGGAGGAACACCAGUGGCGAAGGCGGCUUUCUGGUCUGUAACUGACGCUGAGGCGCGAAAGCGUGGGGAGCAAACAGGAUUAGAAACCCCAGUAGUCC
rnacentral:rRNA from 1 species